UCUACAAGUUGCUUUUUAAAUAAUUCUAAUGUUCUCUUCAAAUAAUACUUCUUGCAACAUCAUCAAAACAAUUCUUCAGGUUUUACCAAUACUCCUUAUGGGUAACAAUCUCCCCCUUUUUUAUGAUGAUAAAAAAAUUCACUUUUAAAAGCAACUCUAGUUUACCUGCAACACAUACAAGCUAACAGACAACCACAAAGUUAGCAGUACCUAUACCAAUUUUUCAAUUGUAAUAUAUUUCUCCCCUUAAUUCUCCCCUUAUAUUUCUUCUCCCCCU
rnacentral:lncRNA from 1 species